UCCGAGCGUCGUUUCCGAACCUCGGGCGCCUCCGGGCGCCCGGCUGUUGGGGAUCUGCAGCGCGCCCCUCCGCGGACCGCUGCAGGCCCCGAAAUACAGUGGCGGGCCCGACGCUGGAACCCCCUGCGCAGUAAGCUACACCUUCUCGCAUACGGGCGACCGGCGGAUGCUGCCGUCAAGCCGCCGGGGGGACGCACCUCGCGUCC
rnacentral:misc_RNA from 1 species